CAGUCGCCACGGGAAUACAGAGGGUGCAAGCGUUAAUCGGAAUUACUGGGCGUAAAGCGCGCGUAGGUGGUUCGCCAAGUUGGAUGUGAAAUCCCCGGGCUCAACCUGGGAACUGCAUCCAAAACUGGCGAGCUAGAGUAUGGUAGAGGGUGGUGGAAUUUCCUGUGUAGCGGUGAAAUGCGUAGAUAUAGGAAGGAACAUCAGUGGCGAAGGCGACCACCUGGACUGAUACUGACACUGAGGUGCGAAAGCGUGGGGAGCAAACAGGAUUAGAUACCCGAGUAGUCCCUGUCUCUUAUAC
rnacentral:rRNA from 1 species